CGGUAAUACGUAGGGUGCGAGCGUUAAUCGGAAUUACUGGGCGUAAAGCGGGCGCAGACGGUUACUUAAGCAGGAUGUGAAAUCCCCGGGCUCAACCUGGGAACUGCGUUCUGAACUGGGUGACUAGAGUGUGUCAGAGGGAGGUAGAAUUCCACGUGUAGCAGUGAAAUGCGUAGAGAUGUGGAGGAAUACCGAUGGCGAAGGCAGCCUCCUGGGAUAACACUGACGUUCAUGCCCGAAAGCGUGGGUAGCAAACAGGAUUAGAUACCCUGGUAGUCCACGCCCUAAACGAUGUCGAUUAGCUGUUGGGCAGCUUGACUGCUUAGUAGCGAAGCUAACGCGUGAAAUCGACCGCCUGGGGAGUACGGUCGCAAGAUUAAAACUCAAAGGAAUUGACGGGGGCCCGCACAAGCGGCGGAGCAUGCGGAUUAAUUCGAUGCAACGCGAAGAACCUUACCAGGUCUUGACAUCC
rnacentral:rRNA from 1 species